AGCAGCCGCGGUAAUUCCAGCUCCAAUAGCGUAUAUUAAAGUUGUUGCAGUUAAAAAGCUCGUAGUUGAAUUUCGGGGUUAGUAGGUUGGUCGUGCCACUGGUACGUACUGGUCUCACUGACUCCUCCUUCCUGAUGAACUGUAAUGCCAUUAAUUUGGUGUUGCGGGGAAACUGGACUGUUACCUUGAAAAAUUAGAGUGUUUAAAGCAAGCUAACGCUUGAAUACAUUAGCAUGGAAUAAUGAAAUAGGACGUUCGAUCCUAUUUUGUUGGUUUCUAGGAUUGACGUAAUGAUUAAUAGGGAUAGUUGGGGGCAUUAGUAUUCAGUUGUCAGAGGUGAAAUUCUUGGACUUAUUGAAGACUAACUACUGCGAAAGCAUUUGCCAAGGAUGUUUCAUUAAUCAAGAACGAAAGUUAGGGAUCGAAGACGAUCAGAUACCGUCGUAGUC
rnacentral:rRNA from 1 species